rnacentral:rRNA from 1 species
CAGCAGCCACGGUAAUACGUAGGUCCCGAGCGUUGUCCGGAUUUAUUGGGCGUAAAGCGAGCGCAGGCGGUUAGAUAAGUCUGAAGUUAAAGGCUGUGGCUUAACCAUAGUACGCUUUGGAAACUGUUUAACUUGAGUGCAAGAGGGGAGAGUGGAAUUCCAUGUGUAGCGGUGAAAUGCGUAGAUAUAUGGAGGAACACCGGUGGCGAAAGCGGCUCUCUGGUCUGUAACUGACGCUGAGGCUCGAAAGCGUGGGGAGCAAACAGGAUUAGAUACCCCUGUAGUCCCUGUCUCUUAUACC